rnacentral:rRNA from 1 species
UACGUAGGGACCAAGCGUUGUUCGGAUUUACUGGGCGUAAAGGGCGCGUAGGCGGCAAUUCAAGUCAGCUGUGAAAUCUCCGGGCUUAACUCGGAACGGUCAGCUGAUACUGCUUUGCUAGAGUGCAGAAGGGGCAAUCGGAAUUCUUGGUGUAGCGGUGAAAUGCGUAGAUAUCAAGAGGAACACCUGAGGUGAAGACGGGUUGGGGCUGACACUGACGCUGAGUGCGCGAAAGCUAGGGUAGCAAACGGG